CAGAGGUGACUGGCUGGUUGGAUAAGGUGGAGCCCCUGCUCCCCAGCACUCCUCUACUCAGUGUGCUGACCAGGGCUAGUCUGCUGUUGACCAACAGGACCUUGGCAGGAAGACGAGCCUGGAACACUCAGCAGGCUAAAACUCUUUUUAAAGAAGCAGUAAAGACCAUGCCCAAUCUUUCCACUGAGAUGUUUCUUGCCCUUAGAAGCAUUGCUUGAGGUGUAAGCUGCACAGCCCUGCGACAGCUCAUCCGGGACAAGCCAUCAUUUUCCUCAAUGCGGAGUGUCCUUGCAUUCAUGAAAGAGCAGUCUGUUCCUCCAUUCCUCACUGGUACAUGAGCAAAUACUUAACUCAAUUAACUGGCUCAGAGGAAUUUGGUUAACAUUUGGCAUGGUUCCACUGUUAGGUAUAAAGAUAUGUUAUAUAAGCGUAAUUGACAACCCUCAUGCUUUUGUUUCAUCGCGGAGCUGUACUACUUUGACUGCUGGGAGACCUUGGCGCUCAGAUCGCUCUAGCCCUGCCGGUGAGCACUAUUAAGAAGUUCCCUGCUGACAUGACGGAUACUUUCAGGAAGAUGAUUGUGCAGGACUCCCAUCACGUCCUGCUCCUACCCAGUACAAAACAGGAUAUUCUGGUGGACAAGAUGGAGCAGAGACUUGGCAUGUACACAGGAGAGUUCACUGAGGAUGAGUUCUGCUCACUGGGCAUCAUGGUGACCUAUGUAGUGGAUGAGGUGUUUGUGCAGCUGGUACGGAGCUUCUUUGUGUAGAGCCUGGAGUUCCUCAGAGUUCUGCUACAACAGCAGCCAGAGGGACAACGUCGCAC